rnacentral:rRNA from 1 species
UGCCAGCAGCCGCGGUAAUACGGAGGGUGCAAGCGUUAUCCGGAAUCACUGGGUUUAAAGGGUGCGUAGGCGGCUAUAUAAGUCAGAGGUGAAAGGCUACGGCUUAACUGUGGGAUUGCCUUUGAUACUGUAUAGCUGGAAUCAGGUUGAAGUUAGUGGAAUGCGGCAUGUAGCGGUGAAAUGCAUAGAUAUGUCGUAGAACACCGAUUGCGAAGGCGGCUCUCUGGACUGACCCUGACGCUGAGGCGCGAAAGCUAGGGGAGCGAACGGGAUUAGAUA